rnacentral:rRNA from 1 species
CCUACGGGUGGCAGCAGUGGGGGAUAUUACACAAUGGGGGAAACCCUGAUGCAGCGACGCCGCGUGGGUGAAGAAGUAUUUCGGUAUGUAAAGCCCUAUCAGCAGGGAAGAAAGAAGACGGUACCUGACUAAGAAGCCCCGGCUAACUACGUGCCAGCAGCCGCGGUAAUACGUAGGGGGCGAGCGUUAUCCGGAUUCACUGGGUGUAAAGGGAGCGUAGACGGCCGUGCAAGCCAGGAGUGAAAGCCCGGGGCCCAACCCCGGGACUGCUCUUGGAACUGUGCGGCUGGAGUGCGGGGGGGGCAGGCGGAAUUCCUGGUGUAGCGGUGAAAUGCGUAGAUAUCAGGAGGAACACCGGCGGCGAAGGCGGCCUGCUGGACCGCGACUGACGUUGAGGCUCGAAAGCGUGGGGAGCGAACAGGAUUAGAUACCCGAGUAGUC